GCCUGGUAGGAGUUUUUUUUUUUUUUUUUUUGGCCUCGUGGCGGAGGACUGGGAUGGAGGUUUCCUCUCUGUCACUCCGCCACGGAGUCAGGUGCGUGCCUGACGCCGGGGCGAUUUGGUCGAGGACAUGCUCGUGGCGAUUGGAGAACAAAUAGGAUUUGAAAAUAUUGUAUCCGCAUCCAAAAUUAACAAGGCCGUGGUGGUUUUUCUGAAGGAUCAAAGUUUUGUUAGUAAACUCAUCGUGAACGGAGUUUGGUAAUAGCGAGUGUGAUUGGAGGAUGUUGGGCCUCUUUCUCUCUCAUUAAGAGGAUGCCUGUGCUUCUGUAUCAUCAGAGCGGAGAAGCUUGUUCUGGAUGUUGAGUUAAUCAUGCUGAGGAUGAUGGGAAGAUGCCUGACACUCAUUUUACUGUCUUCAGUUAAAAUACUCAUCACAGCUGACCGUGUGAAUGUGAGGCUGGUUGGUGGUCACAGUCGCUGUGCUGGGAGAGUGGAGGUUCAUCAUAGAGGUCAGUGGGGAACAGUGUGUGAUGUUGCCUGGGAUUUGGCUGAUGCUGCAGUGGUGUGUAGAGAGCUGGACUGUGGAGAACCUGUAGAUGUUUUGGGUAAUGCAUACUUUGGACAAGGAUCAGGACCAAUCUGGAUGAAUUUUGUCAGAUGUUUUGGUCCAGAAUCCGCACUGAAGGACUGUGUAUCAGGAGGAUGGGACCAAAGUUACUGUGAUCAUGCUAAAGAUGCUGGAGUCAUCUGCUCAGGUAACAUUUGCACAC